CGGGACGGGUGAGUAACAACGUGGAUAACCUACCUAUAAGACUGGGAUAACUUCGGGAAACCGAAGCUAAUACCGGAUAAUAUAUUGAACCGCAUGGUUCAAUAGUGAAAGACGGUUUUGCUGUCACUUAUAGAUGGAUCCGCGCCGCAUUAGCUAGUUGGUAAGGUAACGGCUUACCAAGGCAACGAUGCGUAGCCGACCUGAGAGGGUGAUCGGCCACACUGGAACUGAGACACGGUCCAG
rnacentral:rRNA from 1 species